UACGUAGGCAGCGAGCGUUGUUCGGAGUUACUGGGCGUAAAGGGUGUGUAGGCGGUUUUCUAAGUUUGGUGUGAAAUCUCCCGGCUCAACCGGGAGGGUGCGCCGAAAACUGGGAGACUAGAGUGCGGGAUGGGAGAGUAGAAUUCCUGGUGUAGCGGUGAAAUGCGUAGAUAUCAGGAGGAAUACCGGUGGUGUAGACGGCUCUCUGGGCCGCCACUGACGCUGAGACACGAAAGCGUGGGUAGCAAACAGG
rnacentral:rRNA from 1 species